rnacentral:rRNA from 1 species
GCAGUGGGGGAAUUUUGUUCAAUGGGCGAAAGCCUGAUGCAGCGACGCCGCGUGAGGGAUGAAGGCCUUCGGGUUGUAAUCCUCUUUCAGCAGGGACGAAGUGGAAGUGACGGUACCUGCAGAAGAAGCCCCGGCCAACUACGUGCCAGCAGCCGCGGUAAUACGUAGGGGGCGAGCGUUGUCCGGAUUUAUUGGGCGUAAAGAGCGCGUAGGCGGCCAUCCAAGUCGAUCGUGAAAGCUCGGGGCUCAACCCCGAGAUUGCGGUCGAUACUGUGUGGCUAGAGGCUGGUAGGGGGGUUGUGGAAAUCCCGGCGGAGCGGAGGAAAGCGCAGAAAACAGGAGGAAAACCCGCGGGGAAGGCGG